GGAAGGAAGGUUAAAUGGAAUGGAUGGGAAGGGAAGGUUAGGGAAGGGAAGGGAAGGGAAGGAAGGUUAAAUGGAAUGGAUGGGAAGGGAAGGUUAGGGAAGGGAAGGGAAGGGAAGGAAGGUUAAAUGGAAUGGAUGGGAAGGGAAGGUUAGGGAAGGGAAGGGAAGGGAAGGAAGGUUAAAUGGAAUGGAUGGGAAGGGAAGGUUAGGGAAGGGAAGGGAAGGGAAGGAAGGUUAAAUGGAAUGGAUGGGAAGGGAAGGUUAGGGAAGGGAAGGGAAGGGAAGGAAGGUUAAAUGGAAUGGAUGGGAAGGGAAGGUUAGGGAAGGGAAGGGAAGGGAAGGAAGGUUAAAUGGAAUGGAUGGGAAGGGAAGGGAAGG